GAGAAGUGCAGUUGUCCGGGGCGCUGCAAGGACUCUAUUGAGGCAUUUGGUGGACGCCGCAGGAACCCACAGCCAGAGGAUGGAAAUGUACACCUGGUUGGAUCUACGAUGACCCAAAUGCAAUCUAGUAAGGUUUGGCCAAGUGUGGUGGGAAAGGAAGAUGUAGGCUCCUAAGCAAACUUCUGGAUUGGGGACACCAGCACCAGAUGCUCUUGCACUUCCUGACCUCCCUGGGUGGCAGCAUUGGAAGUGCCUGGACCCUUGGAAAGGGCUAAGUGAUUCCUUCAUCAUUACCAGAAUGUAGUUUGUGUUCAACAGGUGGCGGUGGAGAACUGUGGCCUUCUGUUCAGCGCAAAAAGUCUACUGAGGAUCUAGGUGGAUAGAACAGGAACGCAGAGCAAUAGUUGGAUGCCUAUAUGCACAUCUUCCUCUGUCUGGCAAGCUCUGCUGACCCCUGAGGUCGUUUCCAUGCUUGCAGAGGUCCUAUCUGCUUGGUGUCAGUUGUGCCUUGUGUUCACUUGGCUUUCACCGGGUGUUGUUGCCUUAUAAUAUUUUCCCAACCUGUUCACAAGCAGGAGGUCCCCUUGGCCUCCGUGUCUCGCUCUGGCCAGGCAGAUGUGGUGCGCCAACGGUACACAGAGUCCAGACCCUGAGCAGAACAACUGAGGAGAGAGGCUGCCCUGGGUGAGACAGGAGAAGUGCCCCUUGGAGUGGGGGACGCCCCACUGGCGCUGCCUCUCGCAUCCACCGGCAGCACGUUCCUUCUCUCUCCUUGCUGCCCGGCGCUUUGCCGUCUCCCAGGGCUCACCAAGUCCAAAUGUUCCCCGAUGGAGUCCAACUCCAGCUUGACCAACACUCACCCCAUCUUGUCCCUGCACCAGCUGGCUUAGGGCUCCCCAGCAUUGCUGGCUGUCGCUGCCUUCUGUCGCUCCCAGUCAGCAUGGCUCUGUUCUUUGCUUUUUGGGUUCCAGAGUGUUUGCUACAGGUUAUGGAGUGUUUCUCUUCUCUCUCUUCUUGUCCUCCAUGUUGCCUGUUGGCGCCUCGGUGGAGUUUCAGUGACCCAAAUGCAGACUGCUCUGCGUUGCCCAAGCGUGAUGCCAAGAGAAGAGGAUAGGAGACUCUGCCGUCAGAUGGCGUUGCCUGUUCUUCUCUCCCCAGUUUGCAGAGUUGGAUGUGACCUCAGCACUGGAUAAGGGGUAAGUGAUUCCUCCAUCCUGACCAGAAGGUAAUCUCUACUUGUCUUGUGCUGUGUGGAACAGGUUGCAGUGGAGAAGUGCAGUUGUCCGGGGCGCUGCAAGGACUCUAUUGAGGCAUUUGGUGGACGCCGCAGGAACCCACAGCCAGAGGUGGAUGCCAAGAUGCACAUCUUCCUCUGUCUGGCAAGCUCUGCUGACCCCUGAGGUUUUUCCCACGCUUGCAGAGGUUGUAUGGGUUUGGUGUUGGUUGUGGCUUGUGCUCACCUUGCUGUCACCGGGUGUUCUUCCUUUGCCCAUCAUAGGGCUCCCCAGUUCUGGUGGGAUCUCCGUGCCUUCUGCUGAUCCCAGAGAACAUGGGUUUGAGCAAGUGAGAUGGAAAAUCAAGUGGUAAACUCCAAAACAGGCUUGCAUAUUGGAGACUUAUCCACCACAUGGUGAUGCCUUCCCUGGCCUCCUUGAUUGCAGUGUGGGAUGUGCCCUGAUCCUUGGAAAGGGGUGAGUGAUUCCUUCAUCCUUACUAGAAGGUAAUCUCUACUUACCUUUUCUUGUGUCCAUCAGGUGGCACUGGAGAGUUGUGACCCUGCUGAGCAGUGCAAGGACUCUACUGAGGCUCUUGGUGGACACAGCAAGAACCCACACCCAUAGAUACACUGAGUGAAAUGUAAACUGAUGUUCUUUGACCAAGUGUGAUGGAAAAUGAAGAUGUAGGCUCCACUACAGCUAUUGUUCGAAGCGGGAAGGACCAUUUUGACUAUUUGUCAACGCCCACCUGGCAAUCUGAAUUUAGGAGCUGCUUUCAUGGACGUGUCGCUGCAGGGCAAAGAAGGCCUCAAAACUUCAGUGGACCUCUACCCCCAAAAGAGCUCUGAAACUUAUGUUAAGAAAAUAAAUGUCUUAAUAUUUUUCUGUCUUCUAUAGUUUUAACUGUUGCUUUAGCUUGGCCGGAAAAUAGGUAUGUAAAACUAAUUGAAAAUCUUGCUGAAGGAAGGUUUUAGUGUUUCAGACUGUUGGGUUUGUAUGACUCUCCCAAGAAGUGUAGGAAGUGUGCCAAUUUACGCAGCAGUUGCACUAAAUUGAACAAUACUGAAUUAUGUAACAAAUCAGAUGGAAAACGGUGGAAAUUGUAAAUGCGUGGAUGAAAAUCAGAGUAAGGUUGUUGAUUUGUUUGUUUGCUUGUUUUUUUUUUUUUUUUUUUUUUUUUUGUUGUUGUUAUUAUUACUAAUACCUGAACCAUUUUUAUAGACAGGAAUGACAACAGUGCAAACCAUAUAAACUUUGGGUGCAGGAACCUGUCAGGUGUAGGGUGUUGUUGGGAAUAUGGCAAUUUUGGGAUGCUUACGAGAUAUAAUGAGACCGCUCGAUGGCAGCAAGGCAGGUACUGUGAUCCUAGGGCCACUAACAAUACAGUGCAGUCUGG
ensembl:lncRNA